GUUUGAUUAUGGCUCAGGAUGAACGCUGGCGGCGUGCUUAACACAUGCAAGUCGAACGAAGCGUCCCGCCCGAUGAAAUGGAGUGCUUGCACAAAGUAGAAUCAAUUGGGAUGACUUAGUGGCGGACGGGUGAGUAACGCGUGGGUAACCUGCCUUACACAGGGGGACAACAGUUGGAAACGACUGCUAAUACCGCAUAACCCGCUAGUAUCGCAUGAUACAGACGGAAAAGAUUUAUCGGUGUAAGAUGGACCCGCGUCUGAUUAGCUAGUUGGUGAGGUAACGGCUCACCAAGGCGACGAUCAGUAGCCGGCCUGAGAGGGUGAACGGCCACAUUGGGACUGAGACACGGCCCAAACUCCUACGGGAGGCAGCAGUGGGGAAUAUUGGACAAUGGGGGAAACCCUGAUUCCCAGCGACGCCGCGUGAGUGAAGAAGUAUUUCGGUAUGUAAAGCUCUAUCAGCAGGGAAGAAAAUGACGGUACCUGACUAAGAAGCCCCGGCUAACUACGUGCCAGCCGCAGC
rnacentral:rRNA from 1 species